rnacentral:rRNA from 1 species
AACGUAGGGGGCGAGCGUUAUCCGGAAUCACUGGGCGUAAAGGGCGUCUAGGCGGUCCAGUAAGUCCUGCGUGAAAGCUCCCGGCUCAACUGGGAGAGCGCGUGGGAGACUGUUGGGCUAGAGACUCGGAGAGGGGUGUGGAAUUCCCGGUGGAGUGGUGAAAUGCGUUGAGAUCGGGAGGAACACCAGUGGCGAAGGCGGCGCCCUGGCCGAGUUCUGACGCUGAAGCGCGACAGCGUGGGGAGCAAACGGG